rnacentral:rRNA from 1 species
UACCCCUUGUUGCCGCAUUUCUCUGUGCCUAGCUUCCCCCUUUCACCACCUUCGCCGGCUCCUCGAGUGGUGGUUCGAGGAUCUGCACCUAACCUCCGCGCCCCCGCUGAUCUACGCUGCUCGACCUGCUGCUCUCUGCUGUCGGCACUCCUCCUCCUCCCUAAACCCGCGCGCCCCACGACACGCCACCUUCCUUCGUCAGCAGCACCGGACUUGGGCUCGAGGACCGCCGCCCAGUACCGCGGCCGCCCUAAACCCCGAGGUCGCCAACCGCUCGCCCCGCUCACCUCCGGGCCUUGCCCGCCUAGAGUUGUACCUCUUGGUCUAGGCCACCCAUCGCGCUCCGUCUCCGCUCCGCAGGUACCGCCGUACGAGUAGACGAACCGAAGGGGCCACCGCCGCCAGUGGUCGCUACACGCCUCCUUCUACUCCCUCCCAGCUCCGACCACACCCCGCCGCGACCUCCCUCUGCUCCCCUAGCCGAUGAGGCCAGCCUACUCGGCCGGCUCAUCUUCUCUCUCUCGUCCGCAACCCCUCAGCCCUCACGAUCCUCUCUCGUCUCUCGCCUCCUUUGUUUUCUCGCCGCCGCCUGCUGCUCUUCCACUUCCGCCGUGCUGCGAGAGGCUGAAGACGGAGGUGUGGUGGAUGCGCAGCAGCAGGUAGGCGCGCCAGCGGCCGCCGACGGCGCGGGGCGCGCUCGCGAGCUUGAUGACCACCUCCCUCUCGUAAACACCUCUUCCGUCCCACUCAUGCGGCACGCGGUCGCGGCGGCAGCAGGCGCCGUGCGAGUGACGGCAGCCACUCUGCACCCCGGGGACCCAAGAGUUCCCGACCGGGAGGGCGGAGUGCCGGGGGUUCCUCCGGCGGCGGUACGCGGGCCGGCAGCAGCUCCGGUCUUCGUGAAAAUGGGCGGCGGCGGCUGCGGCGGUAGGUAAGUUCGUCCGCGCGGGCACGCUGUGUCCAUGCUCCUCAAGUACCUCCGGCCGGCGGAGCGGCGGCUCAUGAACCACCCGUUUCCGCACGAGGACGGCCGUAGCUACAUCCCCCCGACACAACAACUGACCCCGGUCUAUGGUGGACGCGGAGGCAACGACGUACGAGUCCUUCGGGGGCGCAAGAUACUGAGGGCGACCUUACCGGUGUUGUAGAACU